rnacentral:miRNA from 1 species
GACUGUCACGUGUCAUAAUCAUA